rnacentral:lncRNA from 1 species
GAGAAAAUGAUGAAUGUGCCAGUACUAUUGAUCACAGUGCUUUUUUGGUGAUUGAAGCAUUGGCUGCUGGAGCUAUUGAUCUUGGAGCAGGGCUAGCUGAAACUGAGGAGAAUAUGUAGAAUUGUUGAGGACAAUAAAUUACAAGAACAUGAAGAUGUGAAUCUGCAGGAGGUCAGAUGCAAGCCAACAGUGGUGUCUGAGGUUUCAAACUUGUGUUCAUUACAAAAAUCAGAAAUACUUUUUGACACACUUUUAUAAAAUACACCAGCAAAUAUUCAUAAGAAAAGGAAAGGUUAAUGAAUUUAGUAUAAAAUGACAAACAUGGGAUUGGUAAAGAAAUAGAAACGGUAAUCCAAUUGUGUGAAUUAAGUUUGUGG